GACGAACGCUGGCGGCGUGCUUAACACAUGCAAGUCGAACGGGAUUUAGUAGACAGAAGCCUCGGCUAAAGAUUACUAAUGAGAGUGGCGAACGGGUGAGUAACGCGUGAGCAACCUGCCUAUGACAGUGGGAUAGCCUCGGGAAACCGGGAUUAAUACCGCAUAAAAUCGUAGAAACACAUGUUUUAACGGUCAAAGAUUUAUCGGUCAUAGAUGGGCUCGCGUCUGAUUAGCUAGUUGGUGAGAUAACAGCCCACCAAGGCGACGAUCAGUAGUCGGUCUGAGAGGAUGAACGGCCACAUUGGAACUGAGACACGGUCCAAACUCCUACGGGAAGCAGCAGUGGGGAAUAUUGCACAAUGGGGGAAACCCUGAUGCAGCGACGCCGCGUGAACGAAGAAGGUAUUCGUAUCGUAAAGUUCUGUCCUAUGGGAAGAUAAUGACAGUACCAUAGAAGAAAGCUCCGGCUAAAUACGUG
rnacentral:rRNA from 1 species